rnacentral:rRNA from 1 species
GACGAACGCUGGCGGCGCGCCUAACACAUGCAAGUCGAACGAGCGAGAGAGAGCUUGCUUUCUCAAGCGAGUGGCGAAUGGGUGAGUAACGCGUGAGGAACCUGCCUCAAAGAGGGGGACAACAGUUGGAAACGACUGCUAAUACCGCAUAAGCCCACAGGUCGGCAUCGACCAGAGGGAAAAGGAGCAAUCCGCUUUGAGAUGGCCUCGCGUCCGAUUAGCUAGUUGGUGAGGUAACGGCCCACCAAGGCAACGAUCGGUAGCCGGACUGAGAGGUUGAACGGCCACAUUGGGACUGAGACACGGCCCAGACUCCUACGGGAGGCAGCAGUGGGGAAUAUUGCACAAUGGGGGAAACCCUGAUGCAGCGACGCCGCGUGGAGGAAGAAGGUCUUCGGAUUGUAAACUCCUGUUGUUGAGGAAGAUAAUGACGGUACUCAACAAGGAAGUGACGGCUAACUACGUG